UACGAAGGGUGCAAGCGUUACUCGGAAUCACUGGGCGUAAAGCGUGCGUAGGCGGUUUCUUAAGUCUGUCGUGAAAGCCCUGGGCUCAACCUGGGAAUGGCGAUGGAUACUGGGAGGCUAGAGUGUGAUAGAGGAUGGUGGAAUUCCCGGUGUAGCGGUGAAAUGCGUAGAGAUCGGGAGGAACACCAGUGGCGAAGGCGGCCAUCUGGAUCAACACUGACGCUGAGGCACGAAAGCGUGGGGAGCGAACAGG
rnacentral:rRNA from 1 species